rnacentral:rRNA from 1 species
UACGUAGGGUGCGAGCGUUGUCCGGAAUUACUGGGCGUAAAGAGCUCGUAGGUGGUUUGUCGCGUUGUCCGUGAAAACUCACAGCUUAACUGUGGGCGUGCGGGCGAUACGGGCAGACCGGAGUACUGCAGGGGAGACUGGAAUUCCUGGUGUAGCGGUGGAAUGCGCAGAUAUCAGGAGGAACACCGGUGGCGAAGGCGGUUCUCUGGGCCUGUACUGACGCUGAGGAACGAAAGCGUGGGGAGCGAACAGG